rnacentral:rRNA from 1 species
UACGAAGGGGGCUAGCGUUGUUCGGAAUUACUGGGCGUAAAGCGCACGUAGGCGGAUAUUUAAGUCAGGGGUGAAAUCCCGGGGCUCAACUCUGGAACUGCCUUUGAUACUGGGUGUCUGGAGUAUGGAAGAGGUGAGUGGAAUUCCGAGUGUAGAGGUGAAAUUCGUAGAUAUUCGCAAGAACACCAGUGGCGAAGGCGGCUCACUGGCCCGAUACUGACGCUGAGGUGCGAAAGCGUGGGGAGCAAACAGG